rfam:Enterococcus devriesei strain DSM 22802 Scaffold13, whole genome shotgun sequence.
GAAAUUCUGUGAUGUGCGCGUUGCCUAUUUCAGUGUUGACCGAACAUUUUUAUUGAUAUCUUGGGAUCCGUCUUGUGUCAAAGUUGGUAACAUGCCUUUUCAUUUGGUAGUUCGAUACUUAGACCAUGGAACCCACCUGCUGUAUCUUGCGGGAUCAAUACUAUCGGGUGAAUAACGGCAUCGACGGAAUUUUC